AUGGCGGCGGUGCCGCUCGGCGUGCUGCGUCGGCGGGAGGUCACGAGCGAGCGGAUGGAGCGCCCGGACGUGCUCCGCGGUGAGGCCAGCCGCAGCCGCAAGGGCGAGGACAUCACGCUGCUCCUCGCCGACACCGGCCAACACGUCGCCGCGCCCGCUUCCCCUGCCCUCUCUCUCGAGAAGCUGUUUGAUGGCCACCAUGGAUCUAGAGCAGCCAAAUACGCAAAGAACAAUCUGCUGAACAAUGUCCCGCGUGCUACCCCUUCAAGUUUGACCAGGGAUGAGUGGCUUGCAGUGCUUCCACAUUCACUCGUUGCAGCAUUUGUUGAGAUAGAUAAGUAUAUGCAAGCCGCGGCUGAAAGUUCUGGUACAACUGUGACAUUUGUGAUAAUAGACGAGUGGGUUGUAACAGUGCCAUCGGUUGGUGAUUCACGCUGCAUACUAGAGUCAAUUGAUGGUUCCCUAUACCAUUUGUCAGCUGAUCAUCGCUUUGACUUCAACCGAGAUGACGUAAUUUGUUGAGAAUUGUGCAAUUUAUGACCUGUACAACUGAAUGCUGUUGGUGGUCCAGAGGUUGGUCCUUUAAGAUGCUGGCCAGGUGGUUUGUGCCUAUCUAGUUCAAUCGUGGAUAUAGAUGUUGGUGAAUGCAUCAUCCCGUUCCCCACGUGAAUCAAUUUAUUGCAGUGACCCAAUGCUGGAGGCAGAAUUAUCAUUGCAAGCGAUGGUGUGUGCGAUGAUUUGACUUUUGAAAUGGCUCUUGAAUGUUCUCGUGGAUACCCUUCUGAUAUAUAUGACAAUCGAAUUGUCAAUGAAGAAAUCCUACCUCAAGGACUAAGAGAUGAUACUACCUGCAUCGUGGUGGACAUACUACCUCCAGAAACACUAGCUCCUAGUCCUCCAAGAAAGUGGCAGGGGAAAACCAUACUCAAUAAUAUGUUCCACGUUGAUCUGAAAAAUAACAUGUUCCGCCGAAAAAAUUCAGAUGCAUCUUUUUAACUAGGUAGAGAAUAUGGUGAGCCGGAUGUGGUGGAAGGAAUAUUCAUGGACGGGUCUGCCAUGCUUUCAAGAAGAUAUAUUUUGUUAACCAACAUUCUAGGCUUUUUUCACUUGGGGUGCUAG
rnacentral:rRNA from 1 species